rnacentral:lncRNA from 1 species
CUGGUGUUGUGAUCAAUCAAAGUUGAUGUGAGCCAGCAGCAUGUCCUUGGGCACAGGUGCCCAGUGGCCUCUUGAGCUGCACCAGUAAAAGCUGUGCCAGUGGGUAGAGGGAGGGGAGCCUUCUGCUCUGCUCAGUCCUGGUGAGGCCAGUGGGGGCUGUGUCCGCUUCUGGGCUUCCCAGUACAAGACAUUGGGGCAGUAGAGGGAGGCCAGCAAAUAACCACAUGAUGAAAGGAUUGCAGCAUAAAAAUAAGAGUGAGAGAGAGGGAGAUGUUACCUGAAUGGGGCAGAGAUGGGAAUAAAGAUGGGAACUGAUUGUGCUCAGUGGUAUCCUGUGAAAAGAGGAAAGGCAAUGUGCUCAAGCUGGACUGCGGGAAGAACGCUUGGAGGCUUUGCUGUAAGGAUGGCUGAAUGCUGAAGAGAUUGCCCAGACAAGUUGUGGAGUUGACAUCCUUGGGAGACAUUAAAAACCUGACUGGAUAUAGUCCUGAGUGGGAUUUUGUAGCUGGCCAUCCAGAGGUAGAGGUCACUUCCAACUUCAGAACUUCUCUGGUUCUGUGACUUGUAAGCUCAUCUUACAAUAUACAAAUUCUUAUUUUAAAUGAUAGGAUUUACCUAUAUAUAUUUAUAUAUUUAUAGGAUUUACCACUAAAGGAAUAUUGAGGAGCAUCAGCCACAGCCAUGGUUCCCAGGGAGCUGUUUAUACAGGUACACAAGACUUAGGACCAAGAAAAAGAAGGACAAAGAAACAAAGGGAUUUGUUUGAAGGCAAGCUGCAAGCCUUAUCUUCCUCACUCCUGCUUCAGUACUCUAUUAACAAAUUUCUCCUGAAAACCUGCCACAAGGCAGUGCCUGUCUGCACGUGUCCCAGCUCCUGUAGCUCAGUGGCUUCUCCUGGCCUGCACAAGGUGUCCUGUGAUCCUCCAGUAGCACUGGCUCCAUGAGUGCCCCCAGCUGAGGGACACACAUGUUUUAGAUUUGCAAGUUGGUCUUCUUAUACCAUUUCCACACAGUCUCCUCCCCCCAAUACUCUGUUCUGUCUCAUCACAGAGCUCUUGGGUCUGUCCUUCUGCCAUGAGACAAGAGCUCCCAUCUCCAUGCAGUGCUUGUGCACAGUGAUCACAGGUAGGGUCUUUCAAAGUGGCCCUACCUUUUGGGUGUUUUUCACCUCUCUGACAGUGUUACAUUCAUGGUGUUAUUGUUUCAUGGCACCCACUGAUUGAAAUAUCCUCUGAUGUUUUAAAGAGCAUUUAUUUCAUUGUAAGUUUCAGUGGCUUUUCAUGUAUUUAAAGAAGACAAAAGUCUUUGGAAAGACAUUGAUACUUCCUCUUCCCCCAUGUCUAUCUCCUUGCAGUACCCUCAUCAGAGUAACUCAGUAAGCUCCUGCUCCUACAAGAGGUCUCUUUGGCUUGUACAUCCAUACAAGAGAAAGCAGUAGCCACCUUCAUGGGCCUCCACAGGCUGGUCCUUUGCACCCAGCUUCUUUUCAUAGUUAAUGAGAUUUGAGCUCCAGGGAGAUACCCCAGCAGAGCAGCACUGUGGCUCUGGCUGUGCCUGGCCAGCUUGAACAGACCAAAAUGAAGAUUAAUUGACUUGGUCUGACAGCAUGAACUUGCCACUGAGACCCAAACUAACAUCUCUGUGCAGUCUGUUGGCCUUACAGUAUAUAAUCAAAAGUGUGUCUGUUUUCAUAUUCCUUCUCUGACACUGGCCAAGAGCAGAUGCUUUGGCUAAUGAUGUUUAUAUCCAGGCCAUCUUGCUAGGAGUUACCCUCAAUACUGCUAAAAUGAUUGUCCUGCUCUAUGGUGUGUAUAUACAGGACAUUAAAUAAGAUUGAUGUUAAAAAUCCUCUACAUGAUAUAACACAAGAGACAGUGUAAUGAACUCUGAGUAUUGCUGUAAUAAAAUUAUUUCUAGC